AACGAACGUUGGCGGCGUGGAUUAGGCAUGCAAGUCGAGGGAAUCCCAGCAAUGGGGGAACCGGCGUAAGGGGCAGUAAGGCAUGGGUACCUACCCUGAAGUUCGGGAUAGCCAUCAGAGAUGGUGGGUAAUACCGGAUGAUGUCGUGAGACCAAAGAUUUAUCGCUUUGGGAGGGGCCCAUGUGAUAUUAGCUAGUUGGUGAGGUAACGGCUCACCAAGGCAAAGAUGUCUAGCGGGUAUGAGAGUACGACCCGCGCCACUCGCACUGAGACACGGGCGAGACACCUACGGGUGGCUGCAGUCGAGGAUCUUCGUCAAUGGGCGAAAGCCUGAACGAGCGACGCCGCGUGCGCGAUGAAGGCCUUCGGGUUGUAAAGCGCUUUAGUGGGGGAGAAAAGGGUAAAACCUUGAUCUAUCCCAAAAAUAAGCUCGGGCUAAGUUCGUGCCAGCCGCCGCCGUAAUAC
rnacentral:rRNA from 1 species